UACGGGGGGUGCAAGCGUUACUCGGAAUCAUUGGGCGUAAAGGGCGCGUAGGCGGCUUGGUCAGUCAGAUGUGAAAGCCCGGGGCUCAACCCCGGAAGUGCAUUUGAUACUGCUGAGCUUGAGUAUGGGAGAGGGAAGUGGAAUUCCUGGUGUAGAGGUGAAAUUCGUAGAUAUCAGGAGGAACACCGGUGGCGAAGGCGACUUCCUGGACCAAUACUGACGCUGAGGCG
rnacentral:rRNA from 1 species